rnacentral:lncRNA from 1 species
AAAACUUUUCUCUUACUAGAACCAAGUCAACAAGAGCCACCCUUGGACUCUGGAUGCCUGGGAGGCUCUGGAUCUGCGGGGCAGAGGAGAAGGUGGAGCCCUCAUCUCACUUCAUGCUUCAAAGCCUGCUUUCCAUCUCUGAAGCUAGAAUGUUCCUGAUGCACACAUGUGGGUCUAGGGUGCCUGCCUUAGCGACACACUGCAUGAGUGGUGUGGUCCAAGAUGACUGAUUUUAAAAAGAGCCGCGCCUCCCGAUGCCGACGAUCUCACGGUGAGAAUGUGCCGACGGAGCCGAUGGCAGUCUUCAGGCAGAGUUCCCGUGACUCUGUGCUGAGGUUUCCACGUGGACCCUGAAUUACUUGAAAUGCAGCCACCUGAACUGACAAGGAUGCAACAGCAGUUCCAUGGAGAAAUAAGCUGCGUUUUCCAGGCUCUGUCUAACAUCCUCACGGAGACUCCAAGCCCGUUCCUCCUGCGUUGGAUUCUCGUCGCCUCGGUCUCUUGGUCCCGAGAUGGCGGUGAUGAUUGUGAUGUAUUGAUCACUGACUGUUAUGAUGGUAACGCUGUUGCAUUUGUGCCAACUGUGGUCGAAGCCGCUUACAUAUUGUUAUGCCUUACAACACAUUCCAUGCUCAUAUUUGUCCAUGAGGGACGUGUCAUUUUUCCUCAUCUACAGAUGGGAAAACUGAGGCAUAGAGCGACUCAGCAACUUGUCCGAAGUCACAGAGCUGGUCGUUGUAGAUGCGGGAGCGAAGCUUGGGCAAGCACCUAG